ACUUUAAUAGCUUAUUUAGAGCGUAACAUUGAAGAUGUUGAGGAGAUUUAUUUUCUUAAGGUA
rnacentral:tRNA from 1 species